CAGGCCGGGAGCAGGGCUGGGGUCUUCAGUGCAGCCAGGCCUGGCAGGUGUCAGUGAUGCUCCUAUGCAACAGAAGGGGAUGAUCUCUGGAAUUGCCUUGUGUGCUGUGCUGCUUCACCUGGAAGUUUCUCUACCCCCUCAUAACUGACCCCUUUAAUACGCCCUCCUCAAAUGAUCCUCAUUGGAAAACGGUCUUCUCUGGCCUUUUCUAUAAAGUGAGGAAUGAUAGUCUCCUUCUUUGAGAACAAAGCUCCUCAAAGACACCUGCUGGAGAGCCAACAAGUGAUGGAGAAGCUAAAACAAUCCUGGGUGCAGAGCUGCAGUGUUGUGUGGUCUUACGGCCUGGGCGCAGGGUCGCAGCGAUGUGUGGUCUUACGGCCUGGGCGCAGGGUCGCAGCACUGUGUGGUCUUAUGGCCCACACUCAACUGUCUGGUGCUGGACGGGGAGACAUGCACAACCAGACCAAGUGGUCUUACAGCCAUGGCUGUCUCAGGGUGAGGUGACCUCUACCCACUUCACAGAGGUGUGGAUAAGAAUAGGAGUGCCAGUUUGUCACCUGGGAUCCCACAUUGAGUGCUGGCAACUAAAUGGAAACCCUGUCUCCUGGGACCCUGCCCUGAUAAUUACAUUUAAACUUCCCACAGUCCUGUGUGCACCCAGCCUCAUGGGCACAGGCAGAGGGAUGCCAGACCUAAGAAAGGCCCUACUGGUGUUAGCCAGGGUUCCCCAGAGAAACAGAACCAAUAGGAUAUAUAGAUGCAUUGGAAGAGGUUCACGAUAGGAAUUGGUUCAGGUGACGAUGGCGGCUGGGAAGUCCCAGGAUCUGCCAUCUCCAAGGUGGAGACCACGGAGAGCCAAUGGUACAGUUCAGUCCAAUUCCAAUGGCCCAAAAACCAGGAGCUCCAGUGUCUGAGGGUAGGAGAAGAUGGAUGUCACAGCUCAGCAGAGACAGUGAAUCUGCCCUUCCCCUGCCUUUUUGGUUUAUUUGGGCCCUCAAUGGUUUGAAUGAGGCCCACCCAUUUUAGGGAGGGCCGUCUGCUUUACUCAGGCUACUGAUGCAAAUGCUAAUCUCUUCUAGAGACACCCUCCCAGACACAUGCAGAAAUAAUGUUUUCCCAGCUCUCUGGAUGUCCCAUAGCCCCAUCAAAUUGACAUACAAAACUAACCAGCAGACAAGCUAAAGUAGCAAGAGAGAUAAAAGGUCAGAGUUGAGUUUUGGAAAUUAGUAAAAGAAACCUUAACUAAAUUGGAAUUGGGAAGCCCUGUAGGGGGAGCCCUCACGCCCUAUCACACAUCAUCUAUUACACCAAACAGGAAGAGGCAAACCCUUAAGUCUGGGACAGGAAGUACAACUACUUUACUAUUGAAGGAAGAUUUCUCUCCCCACCCGGCAACAGCCCAGCCAAUGAGAAACACUGCAGCUCAGCCAAUGAGAAACACCACAGCUCAGCCAAUGAGAAAUGCUGCAGCUCAGCCAAUGAGAAAUGCUGCAGCUCAGCCAAUGAGAAACGCCACAGCUCAGCCAAUGAGAAACACCACAGCUCAGCCAAUGAGAAACACCACAGCUCAGCCAAUGAGAAACACGGCAGCUCAGCCAAUGAGAAACACUGCAGCUCAGCCAAUGAGAAACACCACAGCUCAGCCAAUGAGAAAUGCUGCAGCUCAGCCAAUGAGAAGCACCACAGCUCAGCCAAUGAGAAACGCCGCAGCUCAGCCAAUGAGAAACGCCACAGCUCAGCCAAUGAGAAAUGCUGCAGCUCAGCCAAUGAGAAGCUGUUGCCGUCCUGAACUGUUACUUUCCCCCAAUGGACUUGCUUUAGAACAGCCCUGCCAUACUCCCCUUUUUUUCUAUAAAAGCAGCUCCUCUUCUUUGUUUGCUGGAUUUGCCUAAUGUUCACCAUAGCAUGCACAUCCCAAAUUACGAUUCUUUUGGCAAUUCCUGAAUAAACUCAUUUUGAGAUAAAAUAAGAGACAAACUUGCUUUUUAAGUUGACAGGUUCUAGGGCCAUCUUGCUAGGUCCCCACAUUUCUCACCCUUGGCAGGGUCUGCCAGGCUGGUGGAGUUGCAGGAUGAAGCA
rnacentral:lncRNA from 1 species